rnacentral:misc_RNA from 1 species
UACGUAGGGUCCGAGCGUUGUCCGGAAUUAUUGGGCGUAAAGAGCGCGUAGGCGGCGUGUCGCGUCUGCUGUGAAAUUCCACGGCUUAACCGUGGGCGUGCAGUGGAUACGGGCAUGCUUGCGGAAGGUAGGGGAGACUGGAAUUCCUGGUGUAGCGGUGAAAUGCGCAGAUAUCAGGAGGAACACCGGUGGCGAAGGCGGGUCUCUGGGCCUUUCCUGACGCUGAGGAGCGAAAGCGUGGGUAGCGAACAGG